rnacentral:rRNA from 1 species
UGGGGAAUAUUGGACAAUGGGGGAAACCCUGAUCCAGCAACGCCGCGUGGGGGACGAAGGCCUUCGGGUCGUAAACUCCUGUCAGUAGGGGAAGAAUGUCUCUCGUUCAAUAGGCGAGAGGCUUGACGGUACCUGCAGAGGAAGCCCCGGCUAACUCCGUGCCAGCAGCCGCGGUAAUACGGAGGGGCAAGCGUUAUUCGAUUAUUGGCGUAAAGGGCGCGUAGGCGGCCUGAUAAGUCAGAGGUGAAAGCCCUCGGCUCAACCGAGGAAAUGCCUCUGAAACUGUCUGGCUCGAGGCUGGGAGAGGACAGCGGAAUUCCUGGUGUAGCGGUGAAAUGCGUAGAUAUCAGGAGGAACACCCGUGGCGAAGGCGGCUGUCUGGACCAGUUCUGACGCUGAGGCGCG